ACUCAAAUAGUUUAAAGAAAGAGCAUAAUAUUGAAGCUGUUAAGGUGAUAAAAUAAUAUCUUUGGGUA
rnacentral:tRNA from 1 species